GCAUCGGUGGUUCAGUGGCGGAAUGUUCACCUGCCAUCAGGGACGUUUCAGGUUCGAUUCCCGGGCAAUGUA